rnacentral:lncRNA from 1 species
UUUAAUCAGUAAAAGGGGUUCAUAAAUGAAUGAUCCCUCUUUUAUACAUGUUUGGUGUAUAGUUAGGUGACUGAGCCCUGAGUCUUGAGGAUGGAUUAGAUUUGAAAGGCUAGAGAGAAGGAAAGAAAAGAUAUUUCAUUAAGUGAAGAGCUAAGUAAUCUACAUCAUUCUAGAAUACUUGAUAAUAACUACUCCCCUGACUGAGCGCAACAUCCAAAAGGACAAGCAUUGAGGCAUAGAAAGUAGUCUUGAAUUCUCCAUCUACAUCAAUAGUACCAUCUAGCAGCUAUCUAUAUAAGAAUUAUGUGGCUGAAAUCAACUGUUCACUUUGCUAGGAUUGCUGCUCAGUCAAGUGGCUAUUAGCAGAAAUGAGUUACCUGCUACUGCUUCUACUGAAAAGGACAUCUUGAUUAUGGUGCCUGCCCUGACUGCCCAAAUCCUGCAGGAGAGGUCAUGGAGACCAGAAGUUGCAUGUUCAGUCCCUGAGCCCUGCAGGGCUAGAAGUGGUGUGCAACCCCUAAGCACACUGUCGGAGGAAUGGUGCCAGCUCUGUACUCCACCCCUCCAUUGGAGACAUAAGAAAAAGAAGCACCAAGCCCUUUGCUGCAUGCUACCAUAGCUCUCACUUCUGAGUCCUGACUCUGAGCUAGGGAAAAU